GAUGAAGAACGCAGCGAAAUGCGAUAAGUAAUGUGAAUUGCAGAGUUUAGUGAAUCAUCGAAUCUUUGAACGCACAUUGCGCCCGCCAGUAUUCUGGCGGGCAUGCCUGUUCGAGUGUCAUUUCAACCAUCAAGCCCCAGGCUUGUGUUGGAGCCCUGCGGCUGCCGCAGCCUCCCAAAACCAGUGGCGGGCUCGCUAUCACACCGAGUGCAGUAGUUUACUCUUCGCUCAGGGCGUGUGGCGGGUGCUAGCCGUGAAACCCCCAACUUCUCAAGGUUGACCUCGGAUCAGGUAGGAAUACCCGCUGAACUUAAGCAUAUCAAUAAGCGGAGGA
rnacentral:misc_RNA from 1 species